rnacentral:rRNA from 1 species
UGGGGAAUAUUGCACAAUGGGCGAAAGCCUGAUGCAGCAACGCCGCGUGAGUGAUGAAGGCCUUCGGGUCGUAAAACUCUGUCCUCAAGGAAGAUAAUGACGGUACUUGAGGAGGAAGCCCCGGCUAACUACGUGCCAGCAGCCGCGGUAAUACGUAGGGGGCUAGCGUUAUCCGGAUUUACUGGGCGUAAAGGGUGCGUAGGUGGUUUUUUAAGUCAGGAGUGAAAGGCUACGGCUCAACCGUAGUAAGCUCUUGAAACUGGAAAACUUGAGUGCAGGAGAGGAAAGUGGAAUUCCUAGUGUAGCGGUGAAAUGCGUAGAUAUUAGGAGGAACACCAGUAGCGAAGGCGGCUUUCUGGACUGUAACUGACACUGAGGCACGAAAGCGUGGGGAGCAAACA